rnacentral:rRNA from 1 species
UACGGAGGGUGCAAGCGUUAUCCGGAUUUACUGGGUUUAAAGGGUGCGUAGGUGGGUAGGUAAGUCAGUGGUGAAAUCUUCGAGCUUAACUCGGAAACUGCCAUUGAUACUAUCUGUCUUGAAUACUUUGGAGGUAAGCGGAAUAUGUCAUGUAGCGGUGAAAUGCUUAGAUAUGACAUAGAACACCAAUUGCGAAGGCAGCUUACUAGGCUGUAACUGACGCUGAGGCACGAAAGUGUGGGGAUCAAACAGG